rnacentral:rRNA from 1 species
UACGGGGGGGGGCAAGCGUUUGUUCGGAAUUACUGGGCGUAAAGGGCUCGUAGGCGGCCAACUAAGUCAGACGUGAAAUCCCUCGGCUUAACCGGGGAACUGCGUCUGAUACUGGAUGGCUUGAGUUCGGGAGAGGGAUGCGGAAUUCCAGGUGUAGCGGUGAAAUGCGUAGAUAUCUGGAGGAACACCGGUGGCGAAGGCGGCAUCCUGGACCGAUACUGACGCUGAGGAGCGAAAGCCAGGGGAGCAAACGGGG